rnacentral:rRNA from 1 species
AGUGAACGCUGGCGGUAGGCCUAACACAUGCAAGUCGAACGGCAGCACAGUAAGAGCUUGCUCUUACGGGUGGCGAGUGGCGGACGGGUGAGGAAUACAUCGGAAUCUACUUUUUCGUGGGGGAUAACGUAGGGAAACUUACGCUAAUACCGCAUACUACCUACGGGUUAAAGCAGGGGAGCUUCGGACCUUUCGCGAUUGAAUGAGCCGAUGUCGGAUUAGCUAGUUGGCGGGGUAAAGGCCCACCAAGGCGACGAUCCGUAGCUGGUCUGAGAGGAUGAUCAGCCACACUGGAACUGAGACACGGUCCAGACUCCUACGGGAGGCAGCAGUGGGGAAUAUUGGACAAUGGGCGCAAGCCUGAUCCAGCCAUACCGCGUGGGUGAAGAAGGCCUUCGGGUUGUAAAGCCCUUUUGUUGGGAAAGAAAAGCAGCAGGUUAAUCCCCCGCUGUUCUGACGGUACCCAAAGAAUAAGCACCGGCUAACUUCGUG